rnacentral:rRNA from 1 species
AUUGAACGCUGGCGGCAGGCCUAACACAUGCAAGUCGAACGGUAACAGGAAGAAGCUUGCUUCUUUGCUGACGAGUGGCGGACGGGUGAGUAAUGUCUGGGAAACUGCCUGAUGGAGGGGGAUAACUACUGGAAACGGUAGCUAAUACCGCAUAACGUCGCAAGACCAAAGAGGGGGACCUUCGGGCCUCUUGCCAUCGGAUGUGCCCAGAUGGGAUUAGCUAGUAGGUGGGGUAACGGCCCACCUAGGCAACGAUCCCUAGCUGGUCUGAGAGGAUGACCAGCCACACUGGAACUGAGACACGGUCCAGACUCCUACGGGAGGCAGCAGUGGGGAAUAUUGCACAAUGGGCGCAAGCCUGAUGCAGCCAUGCCGCGUGUAUGAAGAAGGCCUUCGGGUUGUAAAGUACUUUCAGCGGGGAGGAAGGGAGUAAAGUUAAUACCUUUGCUCAUUGACGUUACCCGCAGAAGAAGCACCGGCUAACUCCGUG